rnacentral:lncRNA from 1 species
GCGCGUUUGUAUAUUUGCGCAAUGCUCCCUGCACGGCUUCUUGUUUUCUCGAGAUUCCCUCAGUUUUAUGGAAUUCAGUAGCUUUCCUGAGUCCCGAAGCUUGAAACCGCUGGUGCCCGAGUUCCGUGGACCUUGGUUACCCGUUCCUUCUCCCAGAUGUGACCUGCACUUCAGCCUACGUGGGGCUUGA